rnacentral:rRNA from 1 species
GACGAACGCUGGCGGCGUGCUUAACACAUGCAAGUCGAACGGAAAGGCCCUGCUUUUGUGGGGUGCUCGAGUGGCGAACGGGUGAGUAACACGUGUGUAACCUGCUCUUGACUUUGGGAUAACUUCAGGUAACUGGGGCUAAUAUCGGAUAGGAGCUCCUGCUGCAUGGUGGGGGUUGGAAAUUUUCGGCGGUUGGGGAUGGACUCGCGGCUUAUCAGCUUGUUGGUGGGGUAGUGGCUUACCAAGGCUUUGACGGGUAGCCGGCCUGGGAGGGUGACCGGCCACAUUGGGACUAAGAUACGGCCCAGACUCCUACGGGGGGCAGCAGUGGGGAAUAUUGCACAAUGGGAGGAAGCCUGAUGCAGCAACGCCGCGUGCGGGAUGACGGCCUUCGGGUUGUAAACCGCUUUCGCCUGUGACGAAGCGUGAGUGACGGUAAUGGGUGAAGAAGCACCGGCUAACUACGUG